GUGUAUAUAUAUUUAUAUUUCGAAUAACACGACUUUGUUAGUUCGUGUUUGAAUUUAAUUCGAAAUAAGAAAUCUCUUUUAUAAGAGAUAUAAGAUGAAGAGCUUUAAGAUGAAUAGAUCGAGAAUAAUAACAAGCUCUUGUAUAUAUAAUGGUCGGUUAAGACUCGGAUCGAAGCUAAAAUAAUAACCAUUUACAAAAACGAUCGGAAAGUUCGCCGGAAAAAUUCGCCGGAGGUUCGGCCGGAUUUUGGCUUAGUGGCGGAACUUGGGCAGCCCUACGGGAGGCCUAAAGUAGUAGUGGUUGAGCUAGUUGGGUUGGGAGAGAGCUUGGUUGGUUGAACUAAGCUUAUAUAACUAAAACCUUGUAUAUAUAAAUAUAUAUGUAUAAGAAUGGAGGUUUUAGAGAAGAAGUAUUUGUAGAGAGUGUUUGUAGAGAUGAAGGAGAGAAUACUUCUAAAAUUCCCAGCAACUAAUUAGCUCUUUAGCUUGUGUAGAAAAUGAAUGGGGAUGGGGUGGUAUUUAUAGGGAAAAUUUGGGGUAGUGGGUAGUGGAAGGUGAUGUAAGGGAUGAUGUAAAUGGGUAGGUGAUGUAAGGGAUGACUACAUUGUUCUUGUCCACUAGCCUAGCAACUUGACAACCAACAUGUGACUUCUUAUCUCAGCACUUAUUGCUUGGAAGAGGAUAAGGCACACACCCCAAUGCAACCCAAUUAACUAUUAAUUAACGAUUAAGUAUCGUUAAUUAAAACUAGCUUAUUUCUAAACAUCUCCAAUAAAUCCAACAAAAAAUAUGACAAUUUUCUAAAUAUUGGAAAAUGGAAAUCUGUGAAGUUUGGUAAUUUUUGGUCAAAGUCUCCUAGGUCAAACGCUCAGUCAAAGCUUCUCGGGUCGACCGUUCGGAAACACACCCCGACAAACAUUCUCCAAAAAUCACGAAACUUUUACCUAACAUACAUCACAUCAUAAAAAUGACAUCCCCAAAGUUUCAAGUCAUUCUAGCAAGUGGAAGUAUUUUAUCCGGAAUUAAAACGAUAAAAACCGCUUUUCGGGUUUGAAUAAAAUACGUAAAUCCUUUUGACGAUUCGUAAAACGUUUUUGGCUAGAAUUUUGACUUGGAUAAAUACUACAAAUAUAUUUCCUUGAGAAUAAAAUAGUUUGGAGUUUUAUGGAAAUAUUCUGAGCAUUUAAAUUAAUUUCCUUCGAUAAAUAAGGAAAUAUACGUAAACCGAGAAAAAUAGUAUUUGGUCAAAACGAGUAGACCCUUGACUAAUUUUUGAUACCAAAAUACUUAGAAUAAUAUGAUUCAUGAAAAAUCAUGGUUUUGACAAUUUUAAAGUGUAUUCUAAGUAUUAAAAUAUUUUUUCCGAAAAAUGAUUAAUUUGAGAGACCUUGGAGAAAAUAUUUAAUGAACCAAGAAAAAUGGAUAUUAAUAUUUGACCAUCCAAAUAUUAGUGUUUUGAUAGAGUAAAUCUUUCUUUUGGAUAGAAAACAAUAUUUGGAAUGAAAGAUUUAAGCUCUUGUAUAUAUAAUGGUCGGUUAAGACUCGGAUCGAAGCUAAAAUAAUAACCACUUACAAAAACGAUCGGAAAGUUCGCCGGAAAAAUUCGCCGGAAGUUCGGCAGAAUUUUGGCUUAGUGGCGGAACUUGGGCAGCCCUACGGGAGGCCUAAAGUAUUAGUGGUUGAGCUAGUUGGGUUGGGAGAGAGCUUGGUUGGUUGAACUAAGCUUAUAUAACUAAAACCUUGUAUAUAUAAAUAUAUAUGUAUAAGAAAAGAGCUUUUAGAGAAGAAGUAUUUGUAGAGAGUGUUUGUAGAGAUGAAAGAGAGAAUACUUCUAAAAUUCCCAGCAACUAAUUAGC
rnacentral:lncRNA from 1 species